rnacentral:rRNA from 1 species
GAUGAACGCUGGCGGCGUGCCUAAUACAUGCAAGUCGAGCGAACGGACGAGAAGCUUGCUUCGCUGAUGUUAGCGGCGGACGGGUGAGUAAAACGUGGAUAACCUACCUAUAAGACUGGGAUAACUUCGGGAAACCGUAGCUAAUACCGGAUAAUAUUUUGAACCGCAUGGUUCAAAAGUGAAAGACGGUCUUGCUGUCACUUAUAGAUGGAUCCGCGCUGCAUUAGCUAGUUGGUAAGGUAACGGCUUACCAAGGCAACGAUGCAUAGCCGACCUGAGAGGGUGAUCGGCCACACUGCAGCUGAUACGCGGUCCAGACUCCUACGGGAGGCAGCAGUAGGGGAUCUUCCGCAAUGGGCGAAAGCCUGCCGGAGCAGCGCCGCGUGGGUGAUGAAGGUCUUCUUAUCGUAAAGCUCUGUUAUUAGGGAAGAACAUAUGUGUAAGUAACUGUGCACAUCUUGACGGUACCUAAUCAUAAAGCCACGGCUAACUACGUG